rnacentral:siRNA from 1 species
GUUAAUCGGAAAUCGCCUAUCUC